GACGAACGCUGGCGGCGUGCUCAACACAUGCAAGUCGAACGAUGAAACCUAGCUUGCUAGGUCGAUUAGUGGCGAACGGGUGAGUAACACGUGACUAACCUGCCCCUUUCUCUGGGAUAACGCUCCGAAAGGAGUGCUAAUACCGGAUACUCACACCGAGGCACAUGCCUUGGCGUGGAAAGUUUUUCGGAAAGGGAUGGAGUCGCGGCCUAUCAGCUUGGUGGUGAGGUAACGGCUCACCAAGGCGACGACGGGUAGCCGGCCUGAGAGGGCGACCGGCCACACUGGGACUGAGACACGGCCCAGACUCCUACGGGAGGCAGCAGUGGGGAAUAUUGCACAAUGGGCGCAAGCCUGAUGCAGCGACGCCGCGUGAGGGAUGAAGGUCUUCGGAUUGUAAACCUCUUUCAGUAGGGACGAAGCGAAAGUGACGGUACCUAAAGAAGAAGCACCGGCUAACUACGUGCCAGCCGCCGCCGUAA
rnacentral:rRNA from 1 species